UCUGAAAAUCAGCUCAGGCAUCUCCGUUGUCUGGGGUGAGAUAAAUAGGCCUAUAGUACUGUGGUACGUUAAGCUUAUUGCCUGCUCUGUAUUGCAGCGUGAUUAAACCCAUGUGCCUACACGU
rnacentral:snoRNA from 1 species